UACGGAGGGGGUUAGCGUUGUUCGGAAUGACUGGGCGUAAAGCGCGCGUAGGCGGACCUGCAAGUCGGGGGUGAAAUCCCGGGGCUCAACCCUGGAAUGGCCUUCGAGACUGCCGGUCUUGAGUUCGAGAGAGGUGGGUGGAAUUCCGAGUGUAGAGGUGAAAUUCGUAGAUAUUCGGAGGAACACCAGUGGCGAAGGCGGCCCACUGGCUCGACACUGACGCUGAGGCGCGAAAGCGUGGGGAGCAAACAGG
rnacentral:rRNA from 1 species